rnacentral:rRNA from 1 species
AUGAAACCAGGUAUGCUGUCCCGGGAGCUUAAAGAAGCUCUUGGUAUGCCUGAUGGUGCCCCGCCCCCAUGGCUUAAAAGCAUGCAGUUGUAUGGUCAUCCACCCUCUUAUCCUUGUCUGAAGAUCCCAUGUUUAAAUGCCCCAGCAUCUCCCGGAGACAGUUUUGGUGAUGCACCAGGGGAGUGGGGAAAGCCUCCUAUUGGCGAGGAAGAACCUCUCGAUCGCAGCAAACACUGGGGAGAAUUGGAGGAAGAGGAAGAGGAGGAGGUGGAGCAGGAACUGAUGGAAGACGAGGAAAUAGAAGAAGGCAUUCGAUCUGUUGACACCAUCUCAAGUACUCCAGCUGGUGCCGAAACACCUAAUGUUAUUGACCUUCGGAGGACGCAGCCUGAGAGGCAGGCAGAAAGGUUAUACUAG